rnacentral:rRNA from 1 species
UGAAAGACGUAGUCGAUGGAUAACAGGUUGAAAUUCCUGUACUAUCCUGUAACAGAACUGUGGGGACACAGGCAGAGAGCGUGAGCCGGGAAUGGAAAGACCGGUACAAGCGAGGUAAGAGUUCAGUUGGCAAAUCCGCUGAACAAUCUGAAGACGUGAUGUGGACUGAAAAUAAGUAGGGAAGCACGUGAGCUGACUGUCAAGAAAAGCCGCUAUUGUUUGCAGGAUACCCGUACCGUAAACCGACACAGGUGGAUGAGGAGAGAAUCCUAAGGCCGACGGGAGAAGCAUUGUUAAGGAACUCGGCAAAAUGACUCCGUAACUUCGGGAGAAGGAGUGCCAGUAAGAUGGCCGCAGAGAAUUGGCCCAAGCAACUGUUUAGCAAAAACACAGGUCUAUGCAAAACCGAAAGGUGAGGUAUAUGGGCUGACGCCUGCCCGGUGCUGGAAGGUUAAGGGGAGAGGUUAGCGCAAGUGAAGCUUUGAACUUAAGCCCCAGUAAACGGCGGCCGUAACAAUAACGGUCCUAAGGUAGCGAAAUUCCUUGUCGGGUAAGUUCCGACCCGCACGAAAGGCGUAAUGAUUUGGGCACUGUCUCAACAAUGCACCCGGUGAAAUUGAAAUACCAGUGAAGAUGCUGGUUACCUGCGCCAGGACGGAAAGACCCCAUGGAGCUUUACUCCAGCUUGAUACUGGGAUUCGGUAUUGCAUGUACAGGAUAGGUGGGAGGCUAGGAAAUGGUAACGCCAGUUGCCAUGGAGCCGAUGUUGGGAUACCACCCUUGCAGUACUGGGUUUCUAACCAGCAGCCGUGAUCCGGCUGGGGGACAAUGUCAGGUGGGGAGUUUGACUGGGGCGGUCGCCUCCGAAAGGGUAUCGGAGGCGCUCAAAGGUUCCCUCAGAAUGGUUGGAAACCAUUCGAAGAGUGCAAAGGCAGAAGGGAGCUUGACUGCGACACCGACGGGUGGAGCAGGUACGAAAGUAGGACUUAGUGAUCCGGUGGUAUAAAGUGGGAUUGCCAUCGCUCAACGGAUAAAAGCUACCCUGGGAUAACAGGCUUAUCACUCCCAAGAGUUCACAUCGACGGAGUGGUUUGGCACCUUGAUGUCGGCUCAUCGCAUCCUGGGGCUGAAGUAGGUCCCAAGGGUUGGGCUGUUCGCCCAUUAAAGCGGUACGCGAGCUGGGUUCAGAACGUCGUGAGACAGUUCGGUCCCUAUCCGGCGUGGGCGUAAGAUAUUUGAGAGGAGCUGUCCUUAGUACGAGAGGACCGGGAUGGACUGGCCGCUGGUGUAUCUGUUGUCUUACCAAAGGCAUAGCAGAGUAGCCAAGCCGGGAAGGGAUAAACGCUGAAGGCAUCUAAGCGUGAAGCCCCCCUCAAGAUGAGAUAUCUCAUAACGUCAAGUUAGUAAGACCCCUUGAAGACGACGAAGUAGAUAGGGCAGAGGUGGAAGUGUGGUAACACAUGGAGCUGACUGUUACUAAUAGGUCGAGGGCAUAACCU